UUCCGCUGCGGCUGCGCUGACUCGUCGUUGCAGCGCUGGCGGCGGCAGGGACGUCCGAACUGAGGUUAGAAGAACUCUGUGCUCACCCCGUAACUAUGUUACAUCUCAAACAGACACCACCUAACCAAGCGAUACUCACAGUCUGCUGUUCUUGCCUGGAUCUUUAUGCACAAGAAAUUACAGCAGAGGGCAAAAGUCACCUGAGGCCACCGAAGACGGGGCACCUCCCCAGCAUCAGUUGUUCUCCCCUGAAAAAUGGAAAUUCAUCACAUUGAGAUCACCAGUUUUGUCAUCAAUUACCACAAUCGGGUAGGUUAAUCAAUAAGGCAAUUUGUUAAUUCAUUGAUAAGGAACAGGCAAGCAGUGCUGGGGACACGGGGAGUCUGCACUCCACAAAGAUGUCCGUUCUACCCCUGGUCACUGCCCCUUUUCUAGGCAGUUUCUUUUUGAGUGGUGUCAUGCCUACUGUGCUGGGGUACAAGUCCGAGCAAGCCUGAACAUGUUGGCUAGUUCCCAAGCAGCAGCAGCUACAAGCCUCCACCAGGUCUGGACAAGGCUCGAACAUGUUUUCAGGUUAGACUCUUAGCAAGCAGGUAACAGCCAUACCAAGCCUUCCCAUGUUUGCACAAGCUUGCAUUUUCCUUAUACAUAAAAGGUAGAUAUAACUCAUAAUUACAGUGGCAAAAAAUACAUAACAGCAAAAGCCAGUAUUUCACAGCAACGUGAUUUUAAGAAAUAUAAUGAAAUUAUUAUA